ACCAGAGCCCUUUCUCCACCAUAUGAAAAUGAAACAAGACAACCAUCGGCAAGCCAGGAAGCGGGCCCCCAGUGGGAUGAGAACAGGCCAGUACCUUGACUUUGGACUUCCCAGCCUCCAGAACUGUUAGUAUGUGACCAAGGCCUUCUGAAGUCUGAUGAAGCCGUAUGACAAGCAGCUCACGCAUUCCAAAGACCUUGAACAUCUCAUGGAGAUGCCGCUUGAUGGAUAUAAAGCAGUAUUUUUGUCUCUCUGCAAUCCAGACUUCACUAGAAGCCUGAUUUUUAAUAUAGUCCUCUCUGGUUAUUUCAUUAUCAUCAUUACUAAAAUCAUAUGUCCUG